GGUUGGCUUCCUGGUGGCCUGGGCGCCAUGGCGCUGCCCUGGUUGCAGCGACUUGAGCUCGUGCUCUUCACGGCCGCCUUCCUGUGCGGGGCUCUGGCGGCCGCGGCGCUGACCCGGACCCAGCUUCUUUCCACAGGCCUCCUUCGGUGGUAGCUGUCCCUUGUAUGGUGCGGUUGCACUCAAUGGCACCUAUCUGGCCUUGUCACAUCCCUCAGCCUCUUCCCUCUGCUACUUUGUGGCAGGAGCUUCAGGCAUCCUGGCGCUCUACUGCCUUCUCCUCCUCUUCUUCUGGGUCUACAGCAGCUGCAUCGAGGACUCCCAGAGAGGUUCUAUAGGGCUCCGAAUUGCUUUGGUCAUCUCAGCUAUAGCCAUCUUCCUGAUCUUAGUGUCUGCCUGUAUACUUCGAUUUGGCACCAAUUCUUUCUGCAAUUCCAUCAUCUCCUUGAAUCAUACAAUUAGCUGCUCUGAAGCCCAGAAAAUCUCAUGGAAACCUCCAGGAACUGCUGUGCAGUUUUACUCCAACCUACACAAUGCUGAAACCUCUUCUUGGGUGAAUCUGAUAUUGUGGUGUCUGGCCUUGAUGCUCCAGGUCAUGCAGUGCAAGUUUCAAGCGACACCAUACCAGCCCCAGGAGAGGGGUGACCCAGAGUGGAGCUCUGAGACUGAUGCUCUUGUUGGGCACCGCCAGUCUCACUCCUGAAGAAUAUCGAGUGCUUUCUGCAACCAGAACCUCCAAGCCCAAUUGCUUUUAAUCUUCUUGUCUCUGUACAGCCCUGUUUAUAUUGGAAACCUCAGUUUUCCCUCCAGGAGGGAAACAUUCGAAUAGGCCACUUCUGCUUUUUCUCCUUAACUUUUUUGUACCAAAAUAAUAUAUUACUUUUCUUCAUCA